rnacentral:rRNA from 1 species
AUUGAACGCUGGCGGCAGGCUUAACACAUGCAAGUCGAGCGGUAACAGGGGUAGCUUGCUACCCGCUGACGAGCGGCGGACGGGUGAGUAAUGCUUAGGAAUCUGCCCAGUAGUGGGGGAUAGCCCGGGGAAACCCGGAUUAAUACCGCAUACGUCCUACGGGAGAAAGCAGGGGAUCUUCGGACCUUGCGCUAUUGGAUGAGCCUAAGUCGGAUUAGCUAGUUGGUGGGGUAAAGGCCUACCAAGGCGACGAUCCGUAGCUGGUCUGAGAGGAUGAUCAGCCACAUCGGGACUGAGACACGGCCCGAACUCCUACGGGAGGCAGCAGUGGGGAAUAUUGGACAAUGGGGGCAACCCUGAUCCAGCCAUGCCGCGUGUGUGAAGAAGGCUUUCGGGUGUAAAGCACUUUCAGUAGGGAGAAGGUAGUGGAGUUAAUAGCGGAAUUAC